rnacentral:lncRNA from 1 species
GAAAUAAAUGAGGAGCUUUCGGUUGCAAAGAAAAUGUGGAUCAAGCCAUAUUGACACAAUCUCAAUAAGUAUGUCUCUAUCAUCAGGAUCAUGGCUAUGAUAUUGAGGAAUGCAUCUAGCUACAAGAUGAGAUCAAAGAGUCCAUUAGACAUGGGAGGCAGAAUAAAUUUUUGAAGUACCAAAGAGAAUGAUACAAAGCUCCCCUAGAUCCACCUCAUCUCUCUGAACCACCAC